rnacentral:rRNA from 1 species
CAGUCGCCGCGGUAAUACGUAGAUGGCAAGCGUUGUCCGGAAUUAUUGGGCGUAAAGGGCUCGCAGGCGGUUUCUUAAGUCUGAUGUGAAAGCCCCCGGCUCAACCGGGGAGGGUCAUUGGAAACUGGGAAACUUGAGUGCAGAAGAGGAGAGUGGAAUUCCACGUGUAGCGGUGAAAUGCGUAGAGAUGUGGAGGAACACCAGUGGCGAAGGCGACUCUCUGGUCUGUAACUGACGCUGAGGCUCGAAAGCGUGGGUAGCGAACAGGAUUAGAUACCCCGGUAGUCCCUGUCUCUUAUAC